rnacentral:lncRNA from 1 species
UGCCUGGCCUCCCUGCUGAUUACAAAGAGGCCCUGGUUCUAGACUGCCCACAGGAGAGCUGUCCUUUGUUUCAGUCCAUGAAAACUUUUAGAAGACAAGGGAGGCCAGACAUAGACACUGUUGCUGCAGCCACUGCAAAGGCAAAUUCCCAAGGGAGAGAGACAGCAGCCUUAAGGAAAACGGAAGCCAUUAUCAGUCCAGAAAGAUACGUGCAGCCUCAGAAAGGGGAGAACCUGUGGCCAAAACGAAUAGAAGAGAGCACGGUCUGUGAAUGAGGAAGUGGCAAUGCAAAAGAGGGUCGUGUGAAACUUCUCAGGGCUGCAAGAGACCUGUAACUGCUGGGCUGCUGUUUUUCCUGAUAUGAAGCCUAUUCUUUAGAGGAUGUCCUCCAAGGAUUGUCUGAACAUGUCGAUAUCUGCCAUCCUGCACGGACGACUCUUCCAACUUGAAUUUGAUUUUUUUCAGACUCCAGGAGCCCCAAUGAAUUAAAAAAAAAAAAAGUUGUUUGAG